CCAGACUCCUACGGGAGGCAGCAGUGAGGAAUAUUGGUCAAUGGCCGAGAGGCUGAACCAGCCAAGCCGCGUGAGGGAGGAAGGUACAGAGUAUCGUAAACCUCUUUUGCCGGGGAGCAGUGGUCCGGACGCGUCCGGACCGGGAGAGUACCCGGAGAAAAAGCAUCGGCUAACUCCGUGCCAGCAGCCGCGGUAAUACGGAGGAUGCGAGCGUUAUCCGGAUUUAUUGGGUUUAAAGGGUGCGUAGGCGGGCAUUUAAGCCGGCGGUCAAAUGUCGGGGCUCAACCCCGGCCUGCCGUCGGAACUGGGUGCCUUGAGUGGGCGAGAAGUAUGCGGAAUGCGUGGUGUAGCGGUGAAAUGCAUAGAUAUCACGCAGAACCCCGAUUGCGAAGGCAGCAUACCGGCGCCCUACUGACGCUGAGGCACGAAAGUGCGGGUAUCGAACAGGAUUAGAUACCCCGGUA
rnacentral:rRNA from 1 species